UUGGGCUUAGUUGUGGUAUUUUUAGUUUUUCUAUUCCAAAGGCACUAAAACAAAGAAAGCUAACUAGGACUUGUUGACCCGGGUGACCCAGACAGCACCUUCUACAGUCCUUUAACUUUGCCCUGAACUUCAUACAAGCAUUAGAAAUGUAGUAAGAUCAGAGAUGUAAACAUGUUA